UGUGGUGUGUGGGCUCUAUAGUGCAGGCUCAGUAGUUGUGGCGCAUAGGCUUAGUUGCUCCACGGCACGUGGGAUCUUCCUGGACCAGGGCUCGAACCCGUGUCCCCUGCAAUGGCAGGCGGAUUCUUAACCACUGCACCAGCAGGGAAGUCCCACCUUUACAUUCUUGCCAUUAUAUGUCACCACCAUAGUUCAAGACACUGUGGCUGUUUUCCUAACUAUUGCAAAAAUUGUUCUCCCACCCCUAGUUCCAUCUUACGCCCAGCUGAUGGAGUAGUUUUUCUAAAGCACAUAUAUGACUAUAUAAUUUCCCUCCUCAACCUCCCAUGGCUUCCUAUGGCCUCUAGCCUUAAGUGCAGUUUCCUCAGGAAUUCCUUCAGGGCCCUCCAUAAUCUGAUCUUUCAGUCCUAAUAAUCUACUACCCUUUGCAACUCCUAAAUUUUGGCUGUACGACCUGUUCUUUAAUCUUUGUGCUUUUUCCCCUCCAUCUUACAUUCACGUUGCUCUCUGGGCCUCGAUUUCUGAUUUCCAUCAUCUCUGCCUAGCAGAGUUCUAACAUCCUUAAAGACUUCAAAUGCAAAGUUAGCUAAGAUAACCUCUUCCUCCGCUGGACUCCCUCAGUGCUUUAUUUUACCCUCUUCUGUUCUUACUGUCUACUUUAUUAUGAGUAUUUGAUUACUCAUUCCAUAAAUGUUUUUCAAGUAUCUGUUGUGAGUGUGGCCCUGUAGUAGGGGCCACGCGGAUAUAAAAUAGAACUGAUUCAAACCUUGGUUUUUAAAGGACUUGUAUUUUGGGUUGGGAGGUAAUGUAAACCUAAGUAACAUUUUUUUCAAGGUAAAAGAAAACAAGUAUUUCAGGCAUCCAGAGGGAGAACUCACUUUGCUAGAGGGAUGAGAGAAAUCUUUGUGGAGGAGGUGGCAUCCAAGCUAGCUUGGAGGAUCAGCGACUUAUAUGGAUGUACAUGGGGAAGGCAUUCAACACAGAGGGAAUACCAGGAACAAAGCUACCAAGCUGAAAAGAGAAGGGUAUGUUAGGGAAGGGGAAGAAGUUUCAUCUGUUAUUAAGGGGCCUCUUGGGAGACAGGCUGGCGGCAGGUUGGUUAAGGCUAGAUAGAGAAUGGCCACACAUUCCCGGCCAGAAGAUAAGAUGAUGCCGUUGCAUGGAAUCCAUUGAAGAGUUUUGACAAGAGACUGACAGAAUCAGAGCAGAAGAAGCUUGUGAUCAGAACUCAAGGGCAUGAGUCUUCCCUUUUGGGUGAGUCCCGGAUACCCGUCCUCUCACUGUCCCCCAGCAUCAUCUAGUUGAAGAGGAAAUGGUUCCCUGACUGCCAAGUGUCAGUGAAGCGCUGUGUUAAAGUUCUCUGGGAAGGGGUCUCGUCGACGCCUGCUGCAGGACAGGAUAACUAAGCAGAGGAAGAUGGUUGGAUAUCCUCUUCUCAACAAAUUUUGUAUAGCACCCACCAGGUGCCAGGCACCAUGCAGCUUCCCACCCUCAUUGCUCUCUCCCUUCAUACCUACUAUGUGCUGAGUAUGGUGUCAGACCAUGAGGAUCCCAUCCUGAGAGAGGCAAACUUGCUGUCUGUCCUCAGGGGGCUUGCAGUGUAGCAGAUAUAGCUCCUGGAAGUAAACGGGAUCACGUGACAGGUUCUGGCCAACAGACUGAGUAGAUGUGCCAGGAGUCACUUUGGUGGUCUUCUUCACCUGCCACGUCAACAGCAAGAGGCUUUAUCUCCGCGGUGGAGCCACCAGAGAGAAACAGCCUGCGUCCCCGAGCCCCUGCUGAAAAUGAGAUGCCCUGGAGGACACUCAGAGCCACAGCGGACUUUGCGUGAGUGAGAAAUAAACCUUUCAAGGUGAAAUCGCCAAGCUUCUAGGGUGUGUCUCUUACUGUAGCAUAGCCUGGCCAAUCCUGACCAAUGCAGCCUGCCUUCUAGGGGGCCCAGAAACCAGUUUUAUAAACAGGCACUAUUGGUGAUUCUGGGGCAGUGGCCCACUGACCACACUUUGUGAUAAGUGACCACACUGACCUUUUGUGAUAGUAUGGGUCUCAUGGGUACCUUAGAAUCUUCCUCAACACCCAGAAUGUUAGAUCUUCCGUAAAGGAGGUUUGGCUAGCAAAGGGUACGCCCUUUGAAAUGUUAUUGGUGUAUGUCUUUUAAAGGAAGCAUGGUUCAUCAGCAUAAUUAAUGUAUUGAUCCCUGUUUGUUGAGCAUUUACUCUGUGCCAGGCACAGCACUAAGUGCUUCACAUACAUUAUCUCAUCACCCCCAUUGCAAGGCAGACAGGAUUGUAGGAAGACACGGGUAGGAAGUGGUAGAGUGGGAUUUGAGCCCAGUUCUGUCUGAUUCCAAACUUUUGCUCUGACUCAUAUGCUCUCAAUUUGCAGACUCUAUCCUCCUGAUGUUUUAGAGCUGGGGUCCUGCAGUUGAGGGUGACUUUAGUGCCCCCAUCAGAAUGACUUGCAAAGGUUGUGGUAAUACUAAAUGUUGUGUAGUAUUAAAUAGUAAACAGUUUCUUAAACCUACUUAAUGAUUUUCAGCUAAGCAUUUUUCAGGCUUUUGAGGACAGCUAUCUAGCAUACUUUCAACUUUCCUAACAAUGAAUGAAGGUUUUUUGAUUUCUAAGGGCUGCAAAGGAAGUUUGCUGUGGGGUUACAGUUCCUUCUCUGGGGAUCCCAGACACUAAUGAAUUUGCAUAUCAAUAAAGCAAACUGAUAACACCAAUUGCUUGAAAUAAAUUCCCUUAACAGGUCUCUAUGCAUUGACCAUAUGUCAAAAAGUCUAAAAAAUAGUAUCCACAGAGAAAGACAAAUACUAUAUGAUCUCACUUAUACGUGGAAUCUAGAAAACACAAAGCCAUGGAAACAGAGAGUAGAUUGGUGGCUGCCAGGAACUGGGGUGUUGGGUGGUGAUGAGAUAUUGGUCAAAGGGUACAAACUUCUAGUCAUAACAUGAAUGAGUUCUAGGGAUCUGUUGUGCAGCAUGGUGAUUAUAGUUUACAAUACUGUAUUGUAUAUUUGAAGGUUACUAAGCGUGUAAGUCUUAAACGUUCUCACCAUACACGGUCUCCAGAUCAAUAGUCUAUAUAGUUCAUCCUCUCUUGAUUCUCAACAACUCAAUCUGCUUAAAAGCAGAUCUGUCUCUUCUUAUGAUACUAGAGUUAAGGUAGGCCCAGUCUUCUCCCAAGUCAUACAGUUUUGCGUUUGCUCCUUCCCCUGGACAGGUAACAGGACAAGCCAACUCAUGGGCACAAAGAGAACAGUUAUGGCCCACUCAAAACCAGAGCUCAGCUAAUUAGUGGAUGGCAAAGCAGGAGGCGGGAAUGUUUAGUAAUCAUAACAACAACAACAGCAAAAAAUACCUCGAAGACUUCUCAGUAAAAGGAACUGUUGUCCCAACAGACCAUGGAUGUGCUUUUUAAAAUCUGUUAAAUGUCAAAUCAGCUGAUAGGGUCCAAUGUUGACAAGCAUUCAAAAGGGCUUUUUCUUAUCAAAUAGAGAAUCUUGUUGCAAAAUCAUUAUCUACAGUCUACAGUAGUUGGUAAUCUUGUUAGGAACGUUGACUAAAAGGCCCUCUGGAUUUAUUUUUCCCUUAGCUUCUCUUCAGAAAUGGGUAGCAUGGAGGGAGAAGUUACCAUGGGAUACCAUGACUGGGAAAGUGAUUUACCCUGCUAUUGCUAGAAAGGUUGGUUAGUUCGUUGAUACAAUUUAAUGCCAACUCCCAGAGUAAUUAAAAAUUAGAAGAGUGAUUUGGUGCAAGCUCAUGAAAUAUCUCCAAGCACGAUUUGCUCAAGUCCCAUUUUCAAACGAAGGGUCCUGGAAGAAAAAUGCCCCUACAGUUCCAAAGUGCCCCAUCGAAGAACCCACAUCUUGCCUGCAGUGCGGAGCCACAGAGGCAGGGAUUUGUCCUGGGUGGAAAGUUCACCGAACAUGCUGUGCUGACUUGUUGAAAAUUACUUGUUCCAAAAGCCAUUCAGAAACCAGUAAUUCUAUUAGCUUGACUUCUGGAACAGUUGCCUACCUGCAGUAAAAAGUAAUUACAGCUGUCCGCCAGCAAAUAAUCGUUCCAGUGUCUGAACGAAUGGCGAAUCUUCUCUGGAAGGAAUUACUGUUCUUCAAUGAGUCAGCUCAGACCAUGUCUCCGCCUUGGUUGUGACGGACUGGGCCAUCUGCCUAAACCAGUGAGGGAAGGGGAAAGGGCUAAGCGUGCUUUACUUGGUGGAAACAGGCAGGACAGGGACUUCACAAAGCUUAUCAGCUGCAAGGCUUUUCUGAGCCAGGCAAAGCCCUUCAUGAAGACAUGGGCACCCGAGGCAGCUUUCAGGUCAAGGACUUGGCCACUGACUGUGAAACUGAGUCCCUCUAAAACCGAGUUCCCUUGCGGAGUUUAUGAUUAAUCUCUCUAUUCAAAACCUUGAUCCC